GACGAACGCUGGCGGCGUGCUUAACACAUGCAAGUCGAACGGUAAGGCUCCAGCUUGCUGGGGUACACGAGUGGCGAACGGGUGAGUAACACGUGGGUGACCUGCCCUGCACUUCGGGAUAAGCCUGGGAAACUGGGUCUAAUACCGGAUAGGACCGCACCGUGAGGGUGUGGUGGAAAGUUUUUUCGGUGUGGGAUGGGCCCGCGGCCUAUCAGCUUGUUGGUGGGGUAAUGGCCUACCAAGGCGGCGACGGGUAGCCGGCCUGAGAGGGUGGACGGCCACAUUAGGACUAAGACACGGCCCAGAAUCCUACGGGAGGCAGCAGGGGGGAAUAUUACACAAUGGGCGGAAGCCUGAUGCAGCGACGCCGCGUGGGGGAUGACGGCCUUCGGGGUGUAAACUCCUUUCACCAUCGACGAAGGGUUUCUGACGGUAGAUGGAGAAGAAGCACCGGCUAACUACGUG
rnacentral:rRNA from 1 species